UAGGGAAUAUUGGACAAUGGGCGCAAGCCUGAUCCAGCCAUCCCGCGUGCAGGAUGAAGGCCCUCUGGGUUGUAAACUGCUUUUCUUUGGGAAUAAAAACUCGGAUUCAUCUGAGCUUGAAGGUACCAGAGGAAUAAGCACCGGCUAACUCCGUGCCAGCAGCCGCGGUAAUACGGAGGGUGCAAGCGUUAUCCGGAUUCACUGGGUUUAAAGGGUGCGUAGGUGGCUUUGUAAGUCAGUGGUGAAAUCCCGGAGCUUAACUCCGGAACUGCCAUUGAUACUGCUUAGCUUGAAUUAGGUUGAGGUGGAUGGAAUGUAACAUGUAGCGGUGAAAUGCUUAGAUAUGUUACAGAACACCAAUUGCGAAGGCAGUUCACUAAGCCUAUAUUGACACUGAGGCACGAAAGCGUGGGGAUCAAACA
rnacentral:rRNA from 1 species